UACGGAGGGUGCAAGCGUUAAUCGGAAUUAUUGGGCGUAAAGAGCUCGUAGGUGGCCUGUCGCGUCGGCUGUGAAAACUCGGGGCUCAACUCCGAGCUUGCAGUCGAUACGGGCAGGCUAGAGUUCGGCAGGGGAGACUGGAAUUCCUGGUGUAGCGGUGAAAUGCGCAGAUAUCAGGAGGAACACCGGUGGCGAAGGCGGGUCUCUGGGCCGAUACUGACACUGAGGAGCGAAAGCGUGGGGAGCGAACAGG
rnacentral:rRNA from 1 species